GGCUACCAGUUCCUGGGGUGGAACUCAGAGCAGUAUUCCAGCCUCCGCCACCAGUGUCCAUUCCCCACCCCAGGGAGGUGCAGUGGGAUGCGACGUGCCAGGUUCUCCAGUGACAAGCGUGAGGGAAUAACUCGGAACAGCAGCCUGAGCACCUACUUGUCACCUCAACACAUUGCUGGGAAAUUCGGCAGCUCUGCCUGUGGAUGGGCCUCCCCUGCCGCGAGUAAGGAGGCCUCACGGCACAGAAGGGAAAUCCAGGCUGAGAAGAUCCAAGAGGCGCGAGGUUGAUUCUUGCCUGCUGUUUCCUAGCUGCGGGACCUUGAGCAGUUUCUGGACUUCUCCAAGCCUGAGGAUUGUUGGACGGAUUACGUGAAAUAAUAACAGCUAAUAUUCAUGGAGUGCUAUGUGCUAGGAAUUGUGGUAUCACCCCAGUUAACAACAACCUUAUCACCUAAGGACGAUUUAUCUUUUUGCAACAGAUUCCAAAAAUGGGGAGCCCAGGCCCAAGGUCACUGAACCAAACAGUGGUGGAGGCAGAGAGAAGAGAGCUUCCUAUCACGCCGACCGAGUGGGGCUUCUGCACCUCCAUGCCAUUGACAUUGGGAGCACGAUAAUUCUUUGUGGUCGGGGACUGUCUGUGCAUUGUGUGAUGUUUAACUAGAUGCCAGUGGCACACACUUCCCAUCCAGUUGUGACAAGCAAAAAUGUCUCCAGACAUUGCCACGUGUCAGGGAGUGGAGUUAAAUCAUUUGAACACCACAGAAAUAGAUGGAGAAUCAGAUAGGGUAUAGAUAUAGGAUAUGUCGAUAGGAUGUAGAUAUAAAGAUAGUGUCUGAAACAUGGAGGAUCAAUAAAUGUCGUUAUUAUAAUUCAAAAUGUGGAACCCUUGCCCUACACUAUCGUCGGGGGCAAAAGAGAGAGAGAGAAACAAGUAUCAGGUUUCUCUGGCCCCAGAUCAUAUAACGAAAUCUAAAUGGAAUUGAUAAAAUAUGCAAACUCAUGGAGGAAUUUUUCAAGUAUUUUGAGGUUAUGAGACCGGCUGUGUCGAGUGUGUAACUGUCACCCACACAUUUGAUGGCAUGAAUCUUACUGCACCAUGUGAUCCCCAACUGAUGCACUGGAAGUAGGAGAGGCUGGCAGAGAGAGGGGACGUCUGUGCUGUGUCCGGCGCAUGUCAGGCCCUCCCCGUUGGGAGCCUUGUGUUUGCUAUGCUGUUUAAUCCUCCAGGAGACCUAUAAGAUUGGCCUUACUUCUCUCCCUUUCCAGAGGGGCAACCCAGGUUCUGCGAGGCCAGAGGACCUUAGCCAACAUGGUAUAGUCAGUCUUAGGCAGAGCCAGGAUUGAAAUCAAAACCUUUCAGACGAUGGUCCUAACUCCUGGGGCCCCCAAAAGAAAAAGAAAAAAAGCUGGCCCCAAGCUCUUAUUUAUAGGCUCUGUGGAUGGGAGUGAGUGUGCACACCCAUGGCCAGCCUUCAGUGUUUUCUAGACCCGCAGAGUUUUUGGGGAUCUCUGUACACCUGUCAAUGUGCCAUAGUCUGCAAGAAGCCCAGACACGCAUGGGGGUGAAGAUAUAUACACAGACGCUUUUAGUGCAAAGUGGACAGUACAAUAGACAGGGACUCGAGAAAGGCUGUGGGAGCCAAAGAGAAUGUGCAGAGGUCCUGGAAUAGGUAUGUGACUGGCCGUUGUGUAGGCUGGGUGACAGUCACACAUUCAACACUGUUCCUUUUGGCCCAGGUUGGGGGUGGGUAGGGGCAGGUCGCGGCUGUUUCCCGGUAGAGGGAAUGCUGACAGAGCUGUGAACUGAGGUUUUGAAAAGCGCUGAGCUAAAGAGAGAGGCGUAGGGAAGGGGCAGCUGGCAGAUGGACAGGUGUGAGCAAGAGUCAGGUUUGGGAGAGAGUGAGGAAUUAAAACAUUCUAAGAGUCCACCUCUCGGUGCAGGACAAAAAGGACCGGGAUGGGGGAGGGAAAAUGCCAAUUGCAAUGCUCCAUUUUAUGCCCAAUUCCAAGCGAAAACUAUCCUUGGAAACAGUCACAUCGUCCUCCCCAGGUGCAUUUUAAUCCAUGCUUCUCCACUUCGAGUGGGCUUUCUAUGGCAUCAUAGUUCCUGGACCCAUGAACGAGAUAAACUGUCUCAAAAGUAACAGGAAUUUAAUUUCUUCUAGUGGGAAAAAAACAAAAUAAAAGGAAAAAAACCCUACAAAACAAACCAUGCGUAUAAGAAAUUCAGAUAACGUCAGAUUGGGAGGAAAAACAAAAAGUGGGAGAGAGAACCCAGGAGCUGACAAAGCACUGGGGAAAGAAAAAAAACAUUAAAAAACCUGUUUGGGCAACAGUCAGAAGUUGUUUCAUAACAUUUUAAAACCAAAGUUGGCUCCAAUAUAAAAGAUUUCUCCUUUCUUGAUAAGACUGCGUUUUUCCCCUCCACCAUUUCAAUGGCGCUAAAAUAAUCUUCGCUUUAGGACAGCUAAUCCAAAG
ensembl:lncRNA